CUUUGGCGGUGAUGAUACAGACCUUCAGCUUUCAACGCCAGUUCUGCUUCUGAGAAUUCAUGAUAGAUAAUGCUAUAUUUUCUUUGUUUUUG
rnacentral:snoRNA from 1 species